ACGAUCUGCUGUUCUUUUCUCUACCCUUUUCCUCUUCUCUUUCUUUCUUUCUUUCUUUCUUUCUUUCUGUCUGUCUACAGCAAAAACCUCGACAAGCCCUAUCAGAAUAACAUUAAGGAAGACAGCAGGAAAGGAGCACGAGCGAGCGGAGCGGCAUCUGCCACUGCCAGGGUUGGUGCACCGGCGCAGCACCACCGCCCUCAUGGAUUCCGGUGCCGGAGGGUCGGAAGGUGGAGACGGGGAGCCGUCGUCUGGGGGACAGACGGCUCCGCCAAGCCGCUACGAGUCGCAGAAGCGGAGGGAUUGGAACACGUUCCUGCAGUACCUGAAGAACCACAAGCCGCCGCUGUCGCUGGCGAGGUGCAGCGGCGCCCACGUGAUCGAGUUCCUCAAGUACCUGGACCAGUUCGGGAAGACGAAGGUCCACAUGAGCGGCUGCGCCUUCUUCGGCCACCCAAACCCGCCCGCGCCCUGCGCCUGCCCUCUACGGCAGGCAUGGGGCAGCCUCGACGCCCUCAUCGGCCGGCUCCGGGCAGCCUACGAGGAGAACGGCGGGAGGCCCGAGUCCAACCCCUUUGGCGCCCGAGCAGUACGGAUUUACCUCCGCGAGGUCCGGGAGAGCCAGGCCAAGGCCCGCGGAAUCCCCUACGAGAAGAAAAAGAGGAAGCGGCCGACAGCCACUACCAGCACCACAGCCACCACCACCUUGGCGUCGGCUUCCACCUCCUCGCAGCAAGGGGAUGGCGGAGGUGGUGGCGCUGGGCCCUCCUCCGGCUCCUGAAUUGCGUGCACGCGCUUGCGUGUGUCUGGUGUUCAUGGUGCACCAUCAAGCGAGGGAAGUGAAGUGCGUUCUCCGUGUUUGCACGGCGGCUUAGAGCUCCGGAAAAUUUUCAGCAUUUUUAAAACUUCAGGUAGAUUUGUGCAGGCUAAUGCCAAAUCAUAGAUGAGGGCUGAUUUGGCAUCACCGUUCAUCACCUGCUGCUGAUGACGUUAUGAACGCCUGCAUGGUGGUCUGCGCAGCUUGAGCAAUGAACAGUGAGACAGUGCUGACCAGCCUUCUGCCAAUGAUCAUCAGACACUUCUAUAAUCACAGUUGAGGUGAACACCAACGUCAAUCUUUUGUUUGCCCGAUACAUGGUCUGUUUCCUCUUGACAUGCAGUUUGAUCUCUCAUUAGCGAGUCAAGUUUCUCUUGUCAUUCUUGCUUCAUGUCUCGAUCUUCAGCCGUAUCUUCGUUUCUCCAUUAACAAGAUUGUGGUUCCGCGAGUCACGGACGAUCCAUGGUCCGUGUCUGUUUGCUUCUUUGUCUGCCUUCUCUCGUGUUGCAGUACCUCUCUCUCUCUAGAGUAUGAGCGUGGGACAAGUUACUCGUCAAAGGAAAAUCUGUUAGUGCCACAUAGAUUCUGGUUGUCCUUUUGAUGUCAGCGGAGGGAAACCUACAGCUCCCGACAGAGCUGGUCGAUAGAGAGGAGUGCUGAUAAAACGUGAAGAUUAAGCCAAUUAGCUGUUGCACUGUUGCAUCUUGACGAAUGGUCGAUUCCUCAUUCCCACCCCCUUUCAUUGUAACACGUUGCUUUCACUUCAGAUUUUGUCUCCAACUUUGUUAGGCAACUCAAGGGGGAGACGACCUUUUAUCUCGAGUCUUCUUUGCAUUUGCAUUGCUUGAGGUACUUGUAUGGGUAGACUUAUCCUGUUCUUUCACAUGCACACAUGCACAUGUUUCUGCUGAGUUUUCAUGUGCACACACACAUGUAUACAUGACACAAUAUUUGAAAUUACUUUUUUAAAAAAAAAAAAAAUCUACACAGACCGUUUAUGAACUUCCAAUCAAAUUAAUCAUAUUCAUAGUAGUCAUGAUCUAUGCACAGUCGAUCAUGUUACUUAAUUCACAUAUUUCAGGAAUAUAUAUAUACCCUAAAUGCUUUUUUAUGUCAUAAACUAAAGGGAAAGAGAAAGACCAUGUCACAAAGGAAUAUAAUAUUAUAUGAUAAACUAACAGCCUGUUUAGAGGGACAGGAAAGGAAAAGAAGGGAAGGGAAAGAGUAGUCAAUACUGUGUUUGGUUAGUUAAUUAAGGAGGGAAGGAAAGGAAAAUAGAAAACCAUGUCUGGUUGUAAAGAAAAUGAAAAGAAAUGGAUGGAAAGGAAAUUAUGACUCAAUGUAAAUCCAAUCCCUCCAAAAUUGGAGGGAUUGGGAUGAAAAAAAAAAAAAAAAGGUUGUUCCUUUUAUUUCCUUUAAAAUAUGCACAUUGUCACACUUCUUUAUGACAAGGUCUUUCAUAUCUAACCAUUUUCUUUCUCCCUUCUUGAUAUAUAUAUAGUACUUGUACAAGGACCAGCUUAUAAUUACAAUAAACGGAAUCCCCUUUGUAACUAAAAAUUUUGCCCAAAGGAAGCAUUGUUAUUGUUACAAUUUCCUUGGGAUUUGCAGAUGAGGAGUACUCCAUUAUCGCUCAGUAUGGGAUGACAAUAGAGGUUACUUCCUUUCCGGACAAGAUGCAUCUUAGUCUAAGGAAAUGUCACAGUCUUCAAGUGUAAAUAUUAGCCUGGGUAAAGAAAGUGGCGACAUUAAGAUGCUUCAAGAUGUCUAAUUCAUGCACCAACUUUCGGCGUGGUGACCAAAAUAAUAACUUAGAUUAAUUUGAAAAACUUAGUGAAACAUUAAACGCUUUUUUAUUCUCUUGUUUGAAAAAAUAAGUAUGUGUUUAAUAUAGUUGGAUUGUAACUAAAAUUAAUAAAAGUGAGCCAACUUCAACCUGAAUCAUCUUAAAAGAAGCACAGCAAUGUGUAGAAAUAGUGAUAUGUCCAUGAAGGUAGUUUAUGAAGUUCAAUAUAUUUUUCUUUUCUUCUUUUGCUCUUUACCCUGAAAUGCACUUUGAUUACAAGAAAACACAAGGCUUUAUCCUUGAAAGGCAAUUCGUGGCUCUAACACAGUAUACUUUAUUCCAGUUAUGCGAACUACCAUAUCACAGUCUAAGAAAAAAUAACAGUGAGCUACUGAUAGAAUUAUGUUGCAGCUCAUCUGAAGACAACUUUUGCUGCUUGGCUUAAAACCUCAUUUUGUUUUACUCCAUUAAGUAUAUACAAAAAAAUAUGUGUGCGUGUGUGUCAGGCCAUCAAUCAGGUCUCCUUUUAUCGUGCUUUAUAACCCUGAAGCAAUGUGUGUAUGUGUUUUUUUUCACAAAUCCAACGGUCCAAUUGUAUGCAAAAAUGUUCAUGCUUUUAAAGUUUGAAGAACAACAUAUGGAAAUCAUGUGUGUAAAAACAGGUUUGAUCAGAUUCUCAGAAUUAGUAGCGUUGUUUCUUCAUGCAUGAUAUGUCCAUUUAUACGGUUAGUAUUAUGAAGAAAGCUAAAAUACUAAGAGACGGGCCUAGCAAGGAGUCAUUUAUAUUUGGAAUCCAGUUGGGGCUUCCUCUUCUUUUUACGAAUUAUAAAUAUUCAUCCACUGGGAUCUCCCUUGAGCGAGCCUGACAUCAAGCAGAAAUGCUGGUUGACUACUUGGCCUAAGUUAGGACUAACAGUUGGGCAGUGAAUCAUCUCGUUGAAUCUUCCUCUUGAUUUCACUUAUCAUGCACCCGGUUUGUGAUAUUCCGUAUGGUUGAAGCUGUGUGUUUUUCUCUUUACCAUGCAUGGUGCAUAAUAAGCAGAAUAUAACUGGGCAAGUGCAAUCCCUUAUUAAACUGAAGCUAGAAUUCGUCUUUGACGCCUCUUCCAAGCUUAAUUAUAUGUAGUUAUUUGGGACUUCUAUGCUUUAUUCAUGUCAUAUGUUGGUUACGGGAAGUCAUACAUGCUGCCUUUUCUUUCAAAUGUUCAUGAAGAAAGAAGGAAUAUGUGCUGCUUUUUUUAUGUUAAAUGGCAAAAAUAAUAGAAGCCUGCCUUUUAGACUCGUUUCCUGUUAACAUUGACGACUUGGAAAAAGAAAAUCCGCCAGAGCUCUCAUCCUUGCCUGUCGUUCGGAAACGGGACAGCAUGACGAAGCUCCAUAUUCUCUAGCCUUCCUUUUCACACUCUUUUCAAAUGGAAAAUUCUAUUCCCCUUGCACGUUGAAAUGAUCAUUCUUGUUCGAGUUUUUCUUAUUUGUUUCUGAUGAUGGUAAUAUGUUCCUUCUUUUGCUUUUUGUAUUCUGGUUCUCAAAUUCUACAAGAGAUUGAUCCGAACUUUCUGUCUUACCAUGCUAUGGCGAGUAAUAAUCGAGUCCAUAGCAGCUAGUU